UACAGAGGUCCCGAGCGUUGUUCGGAUUCACUGGGCGUAAAGGGUGCGUAGGUGGUGAGGUAAGUCGGAUGUGAAAUCUCCAAGCUCAACUUGGAAAUGGCAUUGGAAACUACCUUGCUCGAGGGUUUGAGGGGGGACUGGAAUACUUGGUGUAGCAGUGAAAUGCGUAGAUAUCAAGUGGAACACCAGUGGCGAAGGCGAGUCCCUGGAAAAACUCCUGACACUGAGGCACGAAAAGCUAGGGGAGCAAACAGG
rnacentral:rRNA from 1 species